UUGACGUACGCUGCCAGCAAGUUACGGAGACCUAGGAGAUUUUCCUCUUAUAUAGUUCCGAUAACCUCGUGCAUCUCGCCUCCUAUCGCCGCGUCCGACGAGAGCUCGUCCCCCGCAUCCGCCGUCACGUGUUGCCGCCGUUGACGAACUACAUCCACACCGCAUCAUCCCCUACUUCCAUCUUCAUCGUAUGUGCAAGAUAGACGAACUGAAUGGAUAAAUUGUCCGCGCUGUUAAAAAAUGGUGCAAACUGAUGACCGCUCUAUCUGGCGCUCAACGCGCUAGACUCGCCGAAACAACGUUGCGGGGCAUGAUGCAGAUGCCAUCGAUUAAGAUGCAUACACUUUUGAUAAGGUACACGGUUGAGAUUUUUGAGCCCACCACGGGAAGAUUCAUUGUAGAAGAGGUGGUUGGUGAGGUGUCUCUCGGUGCCGUGGACGUUGAGUGCAUCUUCAACUUGGACAACCUAGGACUGUCGGCAUCAGACAUUCUCAGUGAAGAAGGUGAGGACAUAAAAGACCGGGUGCCGCCUCAAUUGUUGAGUAAGUCUACUGGUAAUAUCGUCAUCGAUGAUCUCAUUGCGGACAUCAUUAAGAAUAAAUCCGCCGACGACGAUUUCCUUCGGAAAGUAGUCCUUGUCCUCCUAGGAACAGUCCUUGCUCCCAUGUCGAGCAAGAUUGUCCCAAAACAGUACUAUGCAUUGGUGGACGAUGUGAAACGUAUUUCCAAGAUUAAUUGGAAUGCGUUCACCCUCGAUGUUCUCCUCGACCGCCUUCGCGUUGUGAGGAAAGGCAAACACACCUCCGUCAAUGGCCGAGGGGCAGUUUAGCACUCUUGCAGGUGCAACCUCUGGAAGGUGAUUGUGUUUUCAAUCCAAACUUGUGCAUUCAAUCUCUUAUGAGAAAUUGGACUGAAGCUGCAGCUAGUAGGAGAGAUCGUUUUGAUUAUGACAACGGUCGCGGCCGUGGUAACGCCAAGGUGGAAGAUAAUAUUACACAGGAAUAUAGGGUACAGGAGGCCAAAGUCCCACAAGAUGCUCCACAAAAGGCAAAACCCAAGCCCGCUAGUGUCACCGCAAGGAAGUCCAAGGCUGCGAUAUCCGCGGAUGAGAUGAUGAAGGCUAUACUGAAGCGAUGCAUGGAAUACAUACACAAAGAGAUGAGGCAAAUCCCUGAUCUAGUAGUAGAGAGAUUGUUGGAGAAGUUGAACAAAGAAGGUGUGAUGUACAAGCCCGUGGGUGUAGAGGCAUCCGGUAAAAAUGAUAUAGAUGAUGAUGAGGCUUCGUUUAAGAAUGGUCCGCAUGAAAAAAGGAAUUCAUGGAGAAGGAUGACAAUGUGUCUGACGCUUCUGAAGAUCCCAUCAUUGAUCUAACGUAGCCAGAGGAAGAUGUUGCGUACCAGAAAGCUGUAGAUGAGGAAAAAACACCAGCUAAGAAGAAUGUUGACAAUGGUGCUGCACCUACUAAGCCAAACGAUGAAAUUGGUGCAACACCGGACAACCCUUGGAUUGUUGGUAAUUCUUCUGAAGCAGGUUCAUCGGACAUAGACAUUAGUGCAACUUCUGUCACCAACUUCAUGGCUAAGGCAAAACCAACAAAGGCUGAAACAAACGGGAAGGAAGAGGACUUUACGCCCGGGAAGCAGAAGCAGACCCUUCGCAAGAAAUUUGAAUGCCCAUAUGCACUUGACAAGCCGAGCAGGCGUGCCACCCGUGGUACUCGACCAUCCGGUACUACUACCGUGAGUAGAGCUUUGUUUAAUGAGAACAAAGUGCCGGAGGUUGUGGCAGAUGAGUUAACGCCAGAACUAAUUGAUGCAGCUGUUUCAUUUGUGGAACUAACUUGCAAGAGCAAGAAGAACAUGAAAAAAAGAGUUUACUACAAUGCUAGUGGUAAUGCUCUGAGGUCUGAAAGGCUUCAACCGGUACUACAACAUAGAUGGCUGUCGGAUGAUGUAAGUGAGGGAGUCCUGGAUUAGGAGGUCCUCGGACAGCCGAACUAUAUACUUUGGCCGGACUGUUGGACUAUGAAGAUACAAGAUUAAAGACUUCGUCCCGUGUCCGGGUGGGACUCUCCUUUGCGUGGAAGGCAAGCUUGGCAAU